GGUCCCCACUCCCCCAAGUGCCAGUGCUCGGCUUCUCCCCGGACCUGCAGCAUCCCGGCCACCUGAGAGUUGCACGAUGGGGCCCACCACUAGGUUGGGUUGGGGGUUGGGCCCGUCCCAUCCCUGACAAUCUAUCCCAACCCCAACCGUGAGGUCACGGAUGCCUCCAUGUUAUCUAUCCCAACCUCGGUUGAUGCAAAGAUUCCUCCAAGUGCGACGAGACACCCUUCCAAUUCCAAAUCUCGGUUUCGGUUCGUCGUUGGAUUGGAUAGGAGAUAUCCAGAGGGGGAGAGAAGAUGGCAGGCAGCUAGAGCGGCUUAUUCAAAGGCAGGUAGAUGAGGGAUCCGAAAGCCUUCCUCCCACAAAAGGGAUGGAUAGAUGGUGGCAGACACGGCCCACCCGCACGACCAUUGCCGCAAGCCCAAGUCAAGCACCAUUCAGCGCGCUGUGAUAGUCUCCACCCACCUAAGCAAGAAGCAACAAAAAAGCUAGCUAGCAUGCAUCUACCUCUGAUGUAGACAUUAAUUCAUGGAUCGAACAAAUCGAUCCUACUCGAUAAUUUCAUCUUGGCUUAACAUCACCGUUGGCGAGCUCAGCUGCUGCUGUCUUGCUGGAGGGCACUCAGCUGAUUCCGAACCUGCAGUCCACCUAAUUUUGGUGGGGGGUGUACUAGUCCUCAACAAGAAAGUGCCAGCAAAUUUACCGUCUCGACUAACAUCAACCACAAACCCAGUCUAAUUCUUUCUUUUGUCGAUGAAAAAAAUGUGAAUUGCGUUUCAAAUAAUUAAUGCUCCUCCUAUGUAAUUAUGUUAAUGAUAAAUUUUACCAUUUCUGUUUUCUGCUUAUAAGAAUGAAUAUAUAUAUAUAUAUAAAGAGAGAGAGAGAGAGAUCCUUCAGAAUUUUAAGGUACUGUUUUAUGCAAUGGUGGUCAUAAAACUGAAAUUUUGGAAGAUUUUGGAGAAAAAAAUGGAUGCAUAUUAAUAAUGCUGAUAAAGAACAUUAGGAAAGAAGGAUACUGAUAACCAAAUCCCCAUUCUGAGCAACCUCUGUGGCCACAUGCACAAAGUUAUUGUCAAACAAAUAUUUACUGAUUCAACAUUAGAAAGAGAAGAUAACCAGCUUUGUGAACAAUUUUCUUGAUGAGGAACCACAUGUUGCAACAUGGAUUUCCAUGUGACCGGGUGUAGUGCUCUCAGCAGCUAACGGCCACCUGAAUCAUCAGUGUUCCAGCGAUAACAAAAUAGAAGCAUAUCUAAUUGCAAACAUCAUGAAUAUCACGAACAAGUUUCAUAGUCUUGGUAGAGCUACACAACCAGUAUACUUCGUAUCAAUUGUCCGGUCUGUAUAUACAAGUGUUGAUUGAUUAUAAUAUUGUUUCGUUUAUACAGGAUCCUAGCAGGUUUGCGGUUGCCGCUGCCCCGGUUGUUCUGCUGAGAUUGCACCUGCAGCCAAGGAAGAAGAGAAAAACGUGGAGCCUGCUGAGGAAUCUGAUGUGGACAAAUGGUCAUGGGCCUUCGUUUGUUUGAUUAGGGCCGUUAGGAUAUUGAAGGUAGUGAACACCGGGAUUUCCAUGUGCUCUUUAAUUAAACCUUCUUUUUUUUUUUUUGUAUUUUUUAGUUUGUGUAAAUAUGAUUGCGCCGCAUUUUUAAUUGUUGUUUUCCGUUGGCUUGAAGCACAUUCGAACAUGUGGUGGGUUCUUGGGUCCAAAAUCCGAUUCCCAAUUCUGAAGACUAUAGAUGUGAUAUCAUUCCUAAGGAGUCUGUGGUGUCACACUGAAGGCUUUGGAUGUAGUUCGUGCAAUUUAUACCUUAGCUAUACCAUUCAGUGUCUUGUAUUGGCCUAAUAAAAUCUGGAGACUGGUGUUAUAUCUUUCAUUCGGUUGUAGUUAGAGAGUUACCUGCCUCCAUUUCUUAUAAUCUUCAUUACCUGGCAAACGCUUUGCUUCACUGAAGAAUGUGUCCAUGCACAAAUUUUGCAAGAUCACCGGCCUUUCUAGGAGUUGUGACAUCAGCAAAAUGAGUGCUUAACUGGCCCAACACAUGAAGAUUUUGUACCUGCAGUCCAAAUUAUUUUGAUGAAAGAACGCUGCCACAGCCAACUGCAAGAGGAGUUUUCUGGCCGACAUCCAGUUAAUCUUCAUGCAGCGGUGCAAAUAAUCAAGAUCCAAUUCUGCCGACUCAACUCAAACUGGAGCAAAGCUAGAAGCAAACUCUUCAUGGAAAGUAUUUUCGUCCUGUAAGACUAGUUAACAAAUUAGUAGAAAGAUGCAUGUUCCAUUGAGCACCUGCGAUUAUGCUUAAAUUAUGCAAGCAUUGCAUCUGAAUUAUUGUAAAUCAGUUGAAACAAAAAUCACAAAUUUAUUUUCGGU